rnacentral:rRNA from 1 species
CCUACGGGAGGCAGCAGUGGGGAAUUUUGGACAAUGGGCGCAAGCCUGAUCCAGCAAUGCCGCGUGAGUGAAGAAGGCCUUCGGGUUGUAAAGCUCUUUUGUCAGGGAAGAAACGGUCUACUCUAAUACAGUGGGCUAAUGACGGUACCUGAAGAAUAAGCACCGGCUAACUACGUGCCAGCAGCCGCGGUAAUACGUAGGGUGCAAGCGUUAAUCGGAAUUACUGGGCGUAAAGCGUGCGCAGGCGGUUAUAUAAGUCAGAUGUGAAAUCCCCGGGCUCAACCUGGGAACUGCAUUUGAGACUGUAUGGCUAGAGUGUGUCAGAGGGGGGGUAGAAUUCCACGUGUAGCAGUGAAAUGCGUAGAUAUGUGGAGGAAUACCGAUGGCGAAGGCAGCCCCCUGGGAUAACACUGACGCUCAUGCACGAAAGCGUGGGGAGCAAACAGGAUUAGAUACCCUGGUAGUCCACGCCCUAAACGAUGUCUACUAGUUGUCGGGACUUAAUUGUCUUGGUAACGCAGCUAACGCGUGAAGUAGACCGCCUGGGGAGUACGGUCGCGAAGAUUAAAACGUACGAAAGUAGUUAGACGNGAGAGAGUGACGAGCACGACGGAGGGUUAG